UAUAUUAAUAUAAAUUCGUAUUAAUUUGAUAUGUUUUUCAUAUCAAACGUAACAUCGAAAAGUCUUCGAAAAAAAAUAUGACUGUGCUUUCGUAUUUUUUGUGUAUUAAUGGUAUUUAGUAUGGUACUAAAGAUAUUUUUUGACAGAAUUUCCGCGGUCUCUCUAAUAUUUGACGAAAAGUGAAAAUGUACAAAGUAAAACAUUUACAUAUGUUAUUUAUUUUUUUUGCAAAUGACUGCACUACUCAAAGUCAAAUGGCUGGCCAAGAUGCCGAACUGGGCAAGUUGGCGUCCACCACUUCGCUGGGAAACUUCUAUCGAGGACAGAAGAAGGUCUUCCUGGCGCUGCUGCAAAGCUACAGGAGGCAUCCGAGUACAGCGUUAUCGGUCAUUUAUUGCUAAGUCCUGGAUUUAUUUUUAUAAUUGAUCCGAAAUAUAUAAAAAAUAAAUAUUUACAGCGA